CUUUUAUCCUGGUUCCCCUUAAAGGAUAUUUGUGUGGGAGAACUUUCCUGCGCCCGAGAUCAACCAAUAGUUCACGUGGGGGGAUUUUCGAAAGAUAGAACUCAAAAGAAUUGACGGGGACCCGCCACAAGCGUGUGGAGCAUUGGUUUAUUCGAAGCAACGGGAAGAACCUUACCCAAUCUUGACAUCCUCUGACCGACUAACCGGGUCUUUCUUCGGGACAGAGGAGACAGGUGGUGCAUGGUGUCGUCAGCUCGUGUCGUGAGAUGUUGGGUUAAGUCCCGCAACGAGCGCAACCCCUAUUACUAGUAGCCAGCAGUUCGGCUGGGCACUCUAGUGAGACUGCCGGGGAUAACCCGGAGGAAGGUGGGGAUGACGUCAAAUCAUCAUGCCCCUUACGAUUUGGGCUACACACGUGCUACAAUGGCGUAAACAAAGGGAAGCGACCCCGCGAGGGGCGAGCAAAUCUCAAAAAUAACGUCUCAGUUCGGAUUGUAGUCUGCAACUCGCUACAUGAAGCUGGAAUCGCUAGUAAUCGCAGAUCAGAAUGCUGCGGUGAAUACGUUCCCGGGUCUUGUACACACCGCCCGUCACACCAUGGGAGUCGAUAAUGCCCGAAGUCAGUGACCUAACCGCAAGGAAGGAGCUGCCGAAGGCAGGAUUGAUAACUGGGGUGAAGUCGUAACAAGGUAGCCGUAUCGGAAGGUGC
rnacentral:rRNA from 1 species